UUAGCCUAUGGGGACCUUCCAGAGCAUAUUUCUAAGUUUUUUGUAUUCGAAGGAAAAUCGUACGAUCGUACGAUAAAAUCGUUCGAAUCAUAUGAUUUGAAGUGCGAUCGAAGUACAAUUGUACAGUUGGAAUACGAUCGUACGAUGCAAAAAAUCCUACGAAUUCGACUUCGAAUUUCGUAGUAUUCAAUUCGAUGGUCGAAUUUCGAAGUAUUUUCCAUUUCGAAAUUCGACCCUUGAUAAAUCUACUCCAUAAUCUCUAGCUGAGCCACUAACUCCCUCCCCCAUCCCUGAUAGAGCCAGUGGAUGCUGAAAGUUGUAGUAGAGAACUUUAUAGAACAUUUUGUUAUUGAAAAAAGUAUUAAUGUGAAGAGGUUUUUUCCUCAAAAAGUUCUUCAUGUAAUGCACUUUGUUUAUUUACAGUAUAGUUACUCUUAUUCUUGUGUUCUCUCUUUAUACCAGGCAGUAGUCAAAUUGAAAUUUUGGAGCUGCGGGAUUUAGAAAAUGAAUACGUUCUUCCACAGAGGCGACUGACUCUUGCAAAGCAUAAUCCCAGUACGGCAGUUAUUGCAGAUGCAUCCGAUUGCAGCAGGGCUGGGAGACAGCGCAGAAGAUUGGGAAUGGCUGGCGGCCAAUCAACUGGCAAUUGUUAAUUGCAAAUAAGUCCAGAUUCUGGGCAAACUCCUAAGGAAGUUGGAUGAAUAUUUUGAGAAGCUGAAGAAAGCCACCAACGACUACAAAAGGUUAGUGCAGAAGCCGCUACGGGCGUAAAUCUGCUCAGUUAUAUAUAGAUGGAAACCAGGCCCCCGUGUUCAUAAUUCAGUGUAGAAUUCAUAAUAAUGUCAUUCGUUUUCUACAAAAAAAACAAACAUUUUGUAUGAUGAUUCUAUGUGUGUCCAUUUGUGGGAUGUUUCAUUAUCAGAUCCCAACUCCCUGCCACAUGUCCUACUGAAUAUAUACAUCUAUAAACUGUGUUUGGAUUUGCUGUUUGAUUCUUUUUCCUGCUUAGAUCUGAUACCAGAAAUAUGCUCCCUGGCUCAUUCUUUGAGAAAUGGACUAGUCUGGCCAAUGGACUGUACAAGAGCUGGGAGCUGAUCAGUGGCUACUUCAGUCAAGGGUCCAUUUAAAACGUGCCCAGAUUCAUAUGGCAUGAGUUUCAAUCAGAUAUGAAUGGGGUUGGCACCUGGUUGGUAUAUCACCAGCCUAACCAGUAAUAUAGUAGCCGAGACUGGGACCAGUGUUACACAUUUAACCAGCUAUGUCUUUUCUCAUAAAUUUAUAAUUCCCUGAUUUACCACCCCUGUCCUGCCCCUCCCCAAUCACUGCCUCCAGCUCCACUUCUUUCCCUUCUUCCUAUAAUCCCCCGCUCCCAUAUCGACCAUAUUUCUCCCGAACCACCCCCUCAUUGUCCCUCCCCUUUCUGUACAGCCAGAUUUCUUUUUCCAAAAUGGCGACAACCCUAGAUAUUGGUCAGGCAGGACCUUCUGAGGGCCCAUGUUUGAUAAUGUACCUGGCACAGCACAAGCCCAGUAUAAUACCUCCAGCUGACUGGACUGUGCUGGCACCCAGCCUAAAUCAGUGCAAUGGACUGUGAAAACCUGUUGGUGGUGCUUAUUCCCACGAACAGCGUCUCCUAUUUCCCCUACUCAUGUAUGUCAGUGGGCAUGGCUAUUCUACUACUUUAUUCUAAAGCAUGGUGGGGCAACACCAUCCAGCAGGGGGGCAACAAGAUCAACAUGUGAUUCCUUAAAGGCCUGGGCCCAACAUAACUGAGAAGCUUGAUACAGCUGUACCCUGCAAUUACAUAAAGUUAUGUAAUUGCUCUGUCUACCCCCCACCCUGUCUCUUAAAGGGCAAGUAAAUCCAGGACUAAACAUAAACUGCAUGGAUUAAUAACAGGGCAGGGGGCUGCUGUACUGCCUCUCAGCCGUGUCAUUGGUAAAUUACAUCCCCCCACUUCAGCAGAACAAACAUUCCUGGUGAGUCUGGACGGACCCUCCUCUUCCCAUUUUCCAAAGGGAAUGUGCAGUGAACCUCUGGGGAGCAGGGUACUAUGGUAAAACAAUCACUGCAAAUCAAAAUGUAGAGUAAAUUAUGUACAUCUUACUUUGGCCCAGGGCUCCUUGAAUUUCAAUUGGCCAUUAAUAUCCCACCUGUUAUCAGUAGACCAAUCAGAGGAUGGACUGAUGCCCAAUGAUACACAGACCUGCCCUUCCUAUGCCCAAAUAAUAGCAAAGGCAACUUUAUCAUGGGACAAAUAUCUUCUAAUGACAGUGGCAUAUUUAUGGGUCAGCUCUUUUCUAGACCCAAUGAUUCAGUUUUCCUUGGCCCAAAGGAUACUAAUGGCAGUGACAUGUAUAUCCAAGUCCCUGCUAGGCUCAAAAUAACAUAUUAAUAAGUCUGCACCUUCUGAACCCAGUCUCAUAAUGUACUAAUCCAAGUGAUAUGUUUAUAUACCAAACCUCUGACAUCAGUGCAGAUCAGUAGGACUGGGUCCAGACAUGGCUUAUCCCCUUCUAAUAUUUAUUCAUCCUUAGCAUCUCAUUUCACCAAUUUCUCCCACCCUAGCCUCCACACCUUCACUUUUCAGUAACCCUUUUCCCUUGCACUAAAGGUCUCCCUCCUCUGUAAUGUUUCCUGGCAAUACUUUAGAACUAUAAAAAAUGCAAGAACACCAAUGAAAUGUGUAUUAACAUUUAUUUAUAAAUUGGUUAAUAAAUUGAUGUUAUAUUCA